rnacentral:misc_RNA from 1 species
GAUGAAGAACGCAGUGAAAUGCGAUAAGUAAUGUGAAUUGCAUAAUUCAGUGAAUCAUCGAAUCUUUGAACGCACAUUGCGCCCCCUGGAAUUCCGGGGGGCAUGCCUGUUCGAGCGUCUCAGGGACGAACCCUCGCGCGGGUGUACGCGCGGUCGUGGCUGCGGUGGCGUGCCCGAGGCGGCGGCCACCGCGCUGGAAUCCAUGGGCGGACGCCUGCCGCGUGGCCGAGCGUGAUAUGACGCAUUGGCGCUCGCACGCGGCGAGGCUGCCAGCCCUGGCCCGUCUGUCGGGCGGGGGAGAGCAAGACACGUGAACUCCUCGAAUCAGGUAGGGAUACCCGCUGAACUUAAGCAUAUCAAUAAGCGGAGGA